rnacentral:rRNA from 1 species
AUGCUACCUGGUGAUCCUGCCAG